rnacentral:rRNA from 1 species
GGGUUGUGAGGUUAAGCGACUAAGCGUACACGGUGGAUGCCCUGGCAGUCAGAGGCGAUGAAGGACGUGCUAAUCUGCGAAAAGCGUCGGUAAGGUGAUAUGAACCGUUAUAGCCGGCGAUGUCCGAAUGGGGAAACCCAGUGCAAUUCGUUGCACUAUCGUUAACUGAAUACAUAGGUUAACGAGGCGAACCGGGGGAACUGAAACAUCUAAGUACCCCGAGGAAAAGAAAUCAACCGAGAUUCCCCCAGUAGCGGCGAGCGAACGGGGAGCAGCCCAGAGUCUGAAUCAGCUUGUGUGUUAGUGGAACGGUCUGGAAAGUCCGACGGUACAGGGUGAUAGUCCCGUACACCAAAAUGCACAGGCUGUGAACUCGAAGAGUAGGGCGGGACACGUGGUAUCCUGUCUGAAUAUGGGGGGACCAUCCUCCAAGGCUAAAUACUCCUGACUGACCGAUAGUGAACCAGUACCGUGAGGGAAAGGCGAAAAGAACCCCGGCGAGGGGAGUGAAAAAGAACCUGAAACCGUGUACGUACAAGCAGUGGGAGCACCUUCGGGUGUGACUGCGUACCUUUUGUAUAAUGGGUCAGCGACUUAUAUUCUGUAGCAAGGUUAACCGUAUAGGGGAGCCGCAGGGAAACCGAGUCUUAACUGGGCGUUAAGUUGCAGGGUAUAGACCCGAAACCCGGUGAUCUAGCCAUGGGCAGGUUGAAGGUUGGGUAACACUAACUGGAGGACCGAACCGACUAAUGUUGAAAAAUUAGCGGAUGACUUGUGGCUGGGGGUGAAAGGCCAAUCAAACCGGGAGAUAGCUGGUUCUCCCCGAAAGCUAUUUAGGUAGCGCCUCGUGAAUUCAUCUUCGGGGGUAGAGCACUGUUUCGGCUAGGGGGUCAUCCCGACUUACCAACCCGAUGCAAACUACGAAUACCGAAGAAUGUUAUCACGGGAGACACACGGCGGGUGCUAACGUCCGUCGUGAAGAGGGAAACAACCCAGACCGCCAGCUAAGGUCCCAAAGUCAUGGUUAAGUGGGAAACGAUGUGGGAAGGCACAGACAGCCAGGAUGUUGGCUUAGAAGCAGCCAUCAUUUAAAGAAAGCGUAAUAGCUCACUGGUCGAGUCGGCCUGCGCGGAAGAUGUAACGGGGCUAAACCAUGCACCGAAGCUGCGGCAGCGACACUAUGUGUUGUUGGGUAGGGGAGCGUUCUGUAAGCCUGCGAAGGUGACCUGUGAGGGUUGCUGGAGGUAUCAGAAGUGCGAAUGCUGACAUAAGUAACGAUAAAGCGGGUGAAAAGCCCGCUCGCCGGAAGACCAAGGGUUCCUGUCCAACGUUAAUCGGGGCAGGGUGAGUCGACCCCUAAGGCGAGGCCGAAAGGCGUAGUCGAUGGGAAACAGGUUAAUAUUCCUGUACUUGGUGUUACUGCGAAGGGGGGACGGAGAAGGCUAUGUUAGCCGGGCGACGGUUGUCCCGGUUUAAGCAUGUAGGCUGGUUGUCCAGGCAAAUCCGGAUAAUCAAGGCUGAGGUGUGAUGACGAGGCACUACGGUGCUGAAGUAACAAAUGCCCUGCUUCCAGGAAAAGCCUCUAAGCAUCAGGUAACAUCAAAUCGUACCCCAAACCGACACAGGUGGUCAGGUAGAGAAUACCAAGGCGCUUGAGAGAACUCGGGUGAAGGAACUAGGCAAAAUGGUGCCGUAACUUCGGGAGAAGGCACGCUGGUGUGUAGGUGAAGUCCCUGCGGAUGGAGCUGAGACCAGUCGAAGAUACCAGCUGGCUGCAACUGUUUAUUAAAAACACAGCACUGUGCAAACACGAAAGUGGACGUAUACGGUGUGACGCCUGCCCGGUGCCGGAAGGUUAAUUGAUGGGGUUAUCCGUAAGGAGAAGCUCUUGAUCGAAGCCCCGGUAAACGGCGGCCGUAACUAUAACGGUCCUAAGGUAGCGAAAUUCCUUGUCGGGUAAGUUCCGACCUGCACGAAUGGCGUAAUGAUGGCCAGGCUGUCUCCACCCGAGACUCAGUGAAAUUGAACUCGCUGUGAAGAUGCAGUGUACCCGCGGCAAGACGGAAAGACCCCGUGAACCUUUACUAUAGCUUGACACUGAACAUUGAGCCUUGAUGUGUAGGAUAGGUGGGAGGCUUUGAAGCGUGGACGCCAGUCUGCGUGGAGCCAACCUUGAAAUACCACCCUUUAAUGUUUGAUGUUCUAACGUUGGCCCCUGACCGGGGUUGCGGACAGUGUCUGGUGGGUAGUUUGACUGGGGCGGUCUCCUCCCAAAGCGUAACGGAGGAGCACGAAGGUUAGCUAAUCCUGGUCGGACAUCAGGAGGUUAGUGCAAUGGCAUAAGCUAGCUUGACUGCGAGCGUGACGGCGCGAGCAGGUGCGAAAGCAGGUCAUAGUGAUCCGGUGGUUCUGAAUGGAAGGGCCAUCGCUCAACGGAUAAAAGGUACUCCGGGGAUAACAGGCUGAUACCGCCCAAGAGUUCAUAUCGACGGCGGUGUUUGGCACCUCGAUGUCGGCUCAUCACAUCCUGGGGCUGAAGUAGGUCCCAAGGGUAUGGCUGUUCGCCAUUUAAAGUGGUACGCGAGCUGGGUUUAGAACGUCGUGAGACAGUUCGGUCCCUAUCUGCCGUGGGCGCUGGAGAAUUGAGGGGGGCUGCUCCUAGUACGAGAGGACCGGAGUGGACGCAUCACUGGUGUUCGGGUUGUCAUGCCAAUGGCACUGCCCGGUAGCUAAAUGCGGAAGAGAUAAGUGCUGAAAGCAUCUAAGCACGAAACUUGCCCCGAGAUGAGUUCUCCCUGAGACUUUAAGUCUCCUGAAGGAACGUUGAAGACGACGACGUUGAUAGGCCGGGUGUGUAAGCGCAGCGAUGCGUUGAGCUAACCGGUACUAAUGAACCGUGAGGCUUAACCUUACAACGCCGAAG